rnacentral:rRNA from 1 species
ACAAGCAGCGGAGCGUGUGGUUUAAUUCGUUGCUACACGAAGAACUUACCUGGGUUUGACAUAUAGGUUGUAGGGAACUGAAAGGGACGACCCUUCGGGGAGCCUAUACAGGUGUUGCAUUGGCUGUCGUCAGCUCGUGUCGUGAGAUGUUCGGUUAAGUCCGCUAACGAGCGCAACCCUCGUCGUAUGUUAUAUGUGUCAUACGAGACUGCCGGUAAAAGCCGGAGGAAGGUGAGGAUGAUGUCAAGUCAGCAUGACCUUUAUAUCCAGGGCUACACACACGCUACAAUGGUCUGUACAAUGGGUAGCCAAGCCGCGAGGCGGAGCCAAUCCUGAAAGCAGGCCUCAGUUCAGAUUGCAGUCUGCAACUCGACUGCAUGAAGCCGGAGUUGCUAGUAACCGCAGGUCAGCAAUACUGCGGUGAAUACGUUCCCGGGUCUU